CGCAUUUUCUGAGACAAUUUAAAGAGGCCACAGAUGAAUUAGAAUGUGAAAAAGAACAGACAAUCCAGUUAGUUCUUCUUUAGUUUCAUAAAGUGCAACAGAUUUGCAGUGUCAAUGACACUGAUUGUGAGGAGGUACAAAGGAUUAAAAAUCGAGCCUUGACUUUCGUUGGUGUGUGAGAAGAUUGUGAUCACUUCCAGGCAUAAAAUUAUUACGUUUCUUUAACCGUCUUUCCGUGAUCUUAAUAUGCAUGAAAUAAAUGAAAUGCAAGAAAUUCUUAGCAAUGUGCGACAAAUGUGUGCUACUUACGCAGAUCCUUCAAGCACUGUGUCAUCACCACCCAGAAAGAGAGAUCGUUUCAAGGAAUGGAGGAACCACAGAUCAUCUGCAGCAGAUGAUGUAGAUCUCUACAUUUUAAUGCAUCCCGGAGAUGAUGAUGAUGACAUCUUAAAGUUGUGAAGCAGACAUGAAACAAAUCUGCUAGGCCUGCUGCAGCUGCAAGACGUAUUUUAUGUAUCCCAGCUGCAAGCACACAUAGUGAAAGAUGCUUUAGUAAAGCUGGCAUGUUACUAACAAAUCGCUGCAGCCAAUUAUAUCUGGAACGCACUAGUGAUUUACUACUGAUCAACAAUAACUAUAAUUUUCAUUCUUUUGCAAACAAGUCAAAAGUA